rnacentral:tRNA from 1 species
GCCCGAAUGGCGGAAUGGUAGACGCUACGGACUUAAAAUCCGUUGUCCGCAAGGACGUGUGGGUUCGAUCCCCACUUCGGGCACCA